AAUGUUAUCACGGGAGACACACGGCGGGUGCUAACGUCCGUCGUGAAGAGGGAAACAACCCAGACCGCCAGCUAAGGUCCCAAAGUCAUGGUUAAGUGGGAAACGAUGUGGGAAGGCCCAGACAGCCAGGAUGUUGGCUUAGAAGCAGCCAUCAUUUAAAGAAAGCGUAAUAGCUCACUGGUCGAGUCGGCCUGCGCGGAAGAUGUAACGGGGCUAAACCAUGCACCGAAGCUGCGGCAGCGACGCUUAUGCGUUGUUGGGUAGGGGAGCGUUCUGUAAGCCUGUGAAGGUGGCCUGUGAGGGUUGCUGGAGGUAUCAGAAGUGCGAAUGCUGACAUAAGUAACGAUAAAGCGGGUGAAAAGCCCGCUCGCCGGAAGACCAAGGGUUCCUGUCCAACGUUAAUCGGGGCAGGGUGAGUCGACCCCUAAGGCGAGGCCGAAAGGCGUAGUCGAUGGGAAACAGGUUAAUAUUCCUGUACUUGGUGUUACUGCGAAGGGGGGACGGAGAAGGCUAUGUUGGCCGGGCGACGGUUGUCCCGGUUUAAGCGUGUAGGCUGGUUUUCCAGGCAAAUCCGGAAAACCAAGGCUGAGGCGUGAUGACGAGGCACUACGGUGCUGAAGCGACAAAUGCCCUGCUUCCAGGAAAAGCCUCUAAGCAUCAGGUAACAUUAAAUCGUACCCCAAACCGACACAGGUGGUCAGGUAGAGAAUACCAAGGCGCUUGAGAGAACUCGGGUGAAGGAACUAGGCAAAAUGGUGCCGUAACUUCGGGAGAAGGCACGCUGAUAUGUAGGUGAAGCGACUUGCUCGUGGAGCUGAAAUCAGUCGAAGAUACCAGCUGGCUGCAACUGUUUAUUAAAAACACAGCACUGUGCAAACACGAAAGUGGACGUAUACGGUGUGACGCCUGCCCGGUGCCGGAAGGUUAAUUGAUGGGGUUAGCGGUAACGCGAAGCUCUUGAUCGAAGCCCCGGUAAACGGCGGCCGUAACUAUAACGGUCCUAAGGUAGCGAAAUUCCUUGUCGGGUAAGUUCCGACCUGCACGAAUGGCGUAAUGAUGGCCAGGCUGUCUCCACCCGAGACUCAGUGAAAUUGAACUCGCUGUGAAGAUGCAGUGUACCCGCGGCAAGACGGAAAGACCCCGUGAACCUUUACUAUAGCUUGACACUGAACAUUGAGCCUUGAUGUGUAGGAUAGGUGGGAGGCUUUGAAGUGUGGACGCCAGUCUGCAUGGAGCCGACCUUGAAAUACCACCCUUUAAUGUUUGAUGUUCUAACGUGGGCCCCUUACCGGGGUUGCGGACAGUGUCUGGUGGGUAGUUUGACUGGGGCGGUCUCCUCCUAAAGAGUAACGGAGGAGCACGAAGGUUGGCUAAUCCUGGUCGGACAUCAGGAGGUUAGUGCAAUGGCAUAAGCCAGCUUGACUGCGAGCGUGACGGCGCGAGCAGGUGCGAAAGCAGGUCAUAGUGAUCCGGUGGUUCUGAAUGGAAGGGCCAUCGCUCAACGGAUAAAAGGUACUCCGGGGAUAACAGGCUGAUACCGCCCAAGAGUUCAUAUCGACGGCGGUGUUUGGCACCUCGAUGUCGGCUCAUCACAUCCUGGGGCUGAAGUAGGUCCCAAGGGUAUGGCUGUUCGCCAUUUAAAGUGGUACGCGAGCUGGGUUUAGAACGUCGUGAGACAGUUCGGUCCCUAUCUGCCGUGGGCGCUGGAGAACUGAGGGGGGCUGCUCCUAGUACGAGAGGACCGGAGUGGACGCAUCACUGGUGUUCGGGUUGUCAUGCCAAUGGCACUGCCCGGUAGCUAAAUGCGGAAGAGAUAAGUGCUGAAAGCAUCUAAGCACGAAACUUGCCCCGAGAUGAGUUCUCCCUGACUCCUUGAGAGUCCUGAAGGAACGUUGAAGACGACGACGUUGAUAGGCCGGGUGUGUAAGCGCAGCGAUGCGUUGAGCUAACCGGUACUAAUGAACCGUGAG
rnacentral:rRNA from 1 species